GGGCAAUUAGUGAGGCUAUAAAGUUAAUGUCAGCUUGAACUAAUUUUCUGGACAUUGUAUCUACAGUUUACUGUGUUAGGUUAUGUCAGCACAGCUGUAGAAUUCAAAUCCAAACGUGGGUUUUUGUGUGCAUGUCCAGCAAACUUUAGGGAUGGAAAGUGAAGUAGUCUUUGCCUUAGCUAGUUCAUCUGUUGCUUUUGCUGUCUUAAGAUUUCCUGGGAUUUACUUAUUUACUGAUCCACUGCCUUGUUCCCAAAUGGACUGGAAGCCACUCUGAUGCACUGGAAACUGCUCGCACCAGCCUUCAAGAACCAAUUGUUACAUCAUUAGGAACUUUCUUCUUGUACGAAGUAAGAUGUCAGGGAGGAGGUAGAGGAAGAACAGGAAUUCAGAGCAAUAUCUGGCAAAUAAAGGGCAGUUACAGCUACAGUUGGAAUAAAUGCAGAUGCUGCAAAUUGAUGGAGGCCUGGUGUCUUCCAGAGUUGAGAUAAAGGCUGGCUGAGGAAUCAGUGAGGCCAGGAAGAGGGCUCAGCUGAGCAACUGAUCAAAGUGAGCUGCUUCUGUCAACAACUGAUUUACGGGGAAGAGAGUUAAGAUUAAGAGAAAAAAGUGAAAAAUGCCUAUAGUUAGUGAAUCUGAAUUGGUUUUGUCUGCAUUCCAGGCAUCCCUCUUCAGGAAGGAGCUUCCUGUGUUUUCUCUGGGGACUCACCUGUUUUCCACUCCAGAUUUAAUACAGAAGAGAUGGUUGCUGCUGCUGCUGAUGACGGUAGGAAUUGAUGAGCAUCUUACCACUGAAUCCAGAAGUCAUCUCCUUUAAGGAACCGACCCAGAGCCUAAACCAAUGGGCAAGUCAGCUUACGAAGAACUGUUCAGAUAUUCAGACUAUUAUUCUGGGAGAGAAAAUAUUGGCAGAGAACAGAUGGGAUUUUCUCAAGGAAAAGAAAAUCCUACAUCUUGCAAGAAAUAGAAAAAAAUAAAUAAACUGUUUGAAGAAGAAGCACACCAGGAUGGCAGGAGAGAGCCUGCGGCUGGGCGUCUGACCCGGAAUGUUAAAGCCAGCCUGGCUGGACUCCAGGACGAAGGACACUCUGCCAGCCUCUCCAUAUCGAUUCCUCUCCCCAGUCCCAAGAUCAGGGGAGCAUUCUGUUCCUUGAAGCAUUUUGUGACUAUAAGUCAGAAGUGCUGCAGUUUUAAUAAAGAGCUGUAUUGUCCUGAUCUUGUGCAAUAU
rnacentral:lncRNA from 1 species